CAACCCUCAAGCCUAGCUUGGUGUUGGGCCUAGCCUGUCUGGCCGGCCUUAAAGAUAGUGGCGGCGCCGCCUGGCCCUAAGCGUAGUACACCUCUCGCUCUAGGGUCCUGCGGUGGCCUGCCAAACCCCCUUAAUUCUAU
rnacentral:misc_RNA from 1 species